GGUGGUUGAAGAUAUUGUUCAUAGCAAUCUCCGAACCAUUCAUGGUAGGUGCUUGCAACUACAGGAAUGUAGAAAAUGAGCAAGGUGAAGAGCAUGGAAUUAUUAUUCAAGCUUGGACCUGGUCAUCUAGAGCGAUAGCUGGACAAUAUAUAAUAAAGAUGGUGGUCCAUACUCCUGUCAUUACUGUUGUGUUGGCCCUCAGAACCU
rnacentral:lncRNA from 1 species